GAGGGUUUCCCAAAAGUAACUGCUAAACUGAGACCUCAUAGAGACCCUAGUGAAAGUGGGGGAGGGUGGUACACUCAGGUGGUACAACCUGAAGGAUGUUUCAAAGUGCCAGAGACAACCUCGCUCUUGGGUGAUGAUAUGAGGAGGACAAGAUGAGGAAAAGGCCAGCUAAUUCUCAGCGCUCGUACUCCCACUCCUCCCUUUUGUACCCAAGGCAGAUACUACUAAUUGAUCCUCAUGUGCCCUCUUUCUUCACGAAGACUCAACAUGGACUCAGACUCUCUCUGUAGGCUGCCAACAUGCUGACUCAGAGCUGGCAAGCCUUCUGGACUCUCGUGGCCAUCCUGAAAGUAAGCCACCACCCCCACAAACCACCAGAAGAUCUCCUGUCUUUAUUAUGAUGAACAUUUUAUUAUAGA